CCUACGGGUGGCAGCAGUGGGGAAUAUUGCACAAUGGGGGAAACCCUGAUGGUGCGACGCCGCGUGGGGGAAUGAAGGUCUUCGGAUUGUAAACCCCUGUCAUGUGGGAGCAAAUUAAAAAGAUAGUACCACAAGAGGAAGAGACGGCUAACUCUGUGCCAGCAGCCGCGGUAAUACAGAGGUCUCAAGCGUUGUUAGGAAUCACUGGGCGUAAAGCGUGCGUAGGCUGUUUCGUAAGUCGUGUGUGAAAGGCGCGGGCUCAACCCGCGGAGGGCAAAUGAUACUGGGAGACUAGAGUAAGGGAGGGGGAACCGGAAUUCGCGGUGUAGCAGUGAAAUGCGUAGAUAUCGAGAGGAACACUCGUGGCGAAGGCGGGUUCCUGGACAUUAACUGACGCUGAGGCACGAAGGCCAGGGGAGCGAAAGGGAUUAGAUACCCCUGUAGUC
rnacentral:rRNA from 1 species